rnacentral:rRNA from 1 species
UCUACGUCGGCGACCGGCGCACGGGUGCGUAACGCGUAUGCAACCUACCCAUUACAGGGGGAUAACACUGAGAAAUCGGUACUAAUACCCCAUAACAUCCAGGGAGGCAUCUUCUUGGGUUGAAAACUCCGGUGGUAAUGGAUGGGCAUGCGUUGUAUUAGUUAGUUGGUAGGGUAACGGCUCACCAAGACAACGAUACAUAGGGGGACUGAGAGGUUAACCCCCCACAUUGGUACUGAGACACGGACCAAACUCCUACGGAAGGCAGCAG